AGAGUUUGAUCCUGGCUCAGGAUGAACGCUAGCUACAGGCUUAACACAUGCAAGUCGAGGGGCAGCAUUUUAGUUUGCUUGCAAACUGAAGAUGGCGACCGGCGCACGGGUGAGUAACACGUAUCCAACCUGCCGAUAACUCCGGAAUAGCCUUUCGAAAGAAAGAUUAAUACCGGAUAGUAUACGAAUAUCGCAUGAUAUUUUAUUAAAGAAUUUCGGUAUCGAUGGGGAUGCGUUCCAUUAGUUGUUGGCGGGGUAACGGCCACCAAGACUACGAUGGAUAGGGGUUCUGAGAGGAAGGUCCCCACAUUGGAACUGAGACACGGUCCAAACUCCUACGGGAGGCA
rnacentral:rRNA from 1 species